GCUUAUGCCUCAGAUACUGUGGUAUGUGUUUUACAUAAAUGAUUAAAUGUGGUUCUCACAAUGGCCCUAUGGUCCUAUAUUUUCUCUUUUUUUAGAUGAAGAAAUCGAAGCACAUCCUUGCGGCACCUGGGUGGCUCAGUUGGUUAAGCAUCGACUCUUGGUUUCGGCUCUUGGUUUCAGCCCCAUGAUCCUGGGGUCAUGAGAUGCAGCCCCGCAUGAGGCUCCACACGGCACAUGGAGUCUGCUUAAGAUUCUCUCUUCCCUCUCCCUCUGCCCCCCACCCCCUGCCUGCCCGCUCUCUCUUUAAAAAACAACAACAAAAAAAGCACAUCCAAAGUUUAUACGGCCAGUAAGAGCUGGUAUUUGAGUACAGAACGUGUGCCUGUGACUGGCUCAUGCAUGGAGGUGCUGCCCAGAAGGGUGCACCCAGUUUUGGGAAAGGGGAGGGACUGGCUGGUGUGUGCAGUCUGGUGCCACUGGAAGCAAGAUGGAGGCCCUGGGGAUAUGGAGAGGCACCUGCUGAGAAAUCCGUUUUUCUCUCUUCCUGAAAUACAUGUAAAAUGACUAGAGACUGGGCUUCAGAAAAGGUUGAAUGACUGCCGGGUGCUGACUCCUCACCCAGCUGCCACAGACCCAGCCAAGAGGGGGGGCCUCCAGCAUCUGCCCGGUAGCCGUCUCCUGCUAAGGUGGUGCCCGCUGGGCUCUGUCUCAAGAGUGGAAGUUUUAAAAAAAAAAAAAGAGUGGAAGUUCACUGAAGGUUCAAAAAGGAUGGAAAAGGUGUGAAAUAAUGUGGAGAAUAAAAUUCUGAACGGACUAGAGAAACAUAGGAAGAUGACUGGGAGCUGUUGCUCCAUGGGGUUCCCGCCUCUUUGGCAUUUCCAAGAGUCCCUGGGGGGCAUCUUACAGACACUCAAGGUAAAGUACGGACUGUGCUACUCUGGCCACCGCCGUGCCCCAUCCACUCUGGCCGUCAUUUGCACGGCCUUUGCCCCUUCCUCCUGGCUGCCAACAGCCAGGCCUCAUAGCCACCUUCCAGUGCUGCGUCUCAGGCUAAGUCUCGGUCGCUGUUCAGCUGUGGAUCUGGACCAGAGCAGGAAACUAACUUCCUGUCCUUUAUGUUCUGUUCUGUUACCAUGUGCUCCCAGCUGAGGCCUUCAGGUACCAAGUGGUGUGGGGCAGCUCUCUUUGUUUGCAAAAUACGCUUUUUGGUUCAAAGUGUUCACCUGCUCCUAGAGUAGUUUCUUUUGGGAUGGUGUCAACGGCUACCAUGCUGAGUCCGCUCACUGUGCCAGAUUCCACCUUAAGUAGGUAUCAGUUCUCCUGCUGGGCUCUUUCAUCACCCUGUAGUUUGCCUACUGUCAUUGGCACCUGAGUCAUCAACAUGCCCGUGGACCUUGGAAACUCGUCAGCCCAGCAGCGCCUAACUCCACAUGCCAGAAGUAUCCAGCCAGUACUCCUGCUAUAAAUAUAGGGCAUUUGAUAUAUUUAGUGCAUCUAUGUAAAUUUCAUCAAUUAUGAUCACCUGGAUAUAAGAACUAAUUCACUCAGACUCUGACUGGAAAACUAAAAAAAAACUGAAUUUUUUGUACAACUUAUACUUGAUUUUUAAUACUUUUGCAGUUUGAGAUAAUUGUAAAUUCACAUGCACUUGUACAAAAUAAUCCAGAGAUCCCAUAGACCUUCAUCCAGUUCUCCCCCCAUGAUAACAACUUGUAUAACUAGAGUACAAUAUCACAACUAGCAAAUUGACAUUGAUAUAUCCCAUCAACUGCAUUCAGAUAUCCCCAUUUUCCAUAUAUGUCUGUGUGUCUAUUUAGUGCAAGGCCAUUUUACUGCACACACAGAUUCAUAUGGCCACCAAAAUACAGAAGCGUCCCACCACAAGGAACCUUCAUUGCCAGCCUGCUGAUGCCACCCUGGUGGCAGGUGAGGAGCACCGCCUGCUUCCAACCGGCAGAAAAUGGAAGAUCGGUCCCUCAGUCCCACAAACACGACUGAGCAGACCCAGAGCACCACCCCCUGAUUCUGCAGGGGUGGUGGGUGGGGAGGAUGAUCAGCUCCCUAUUCUGCACCAUUGAAACUAGGGAGAGGGGGAUGCAUUUUUUCCUAUUAGGGCAUUAAUGUUUGGCCAGAGUAGGGCAGGUGGGCAAAAAGGCUUUCCGUGGGGGGGCCACUCCUUUGUCGGUUCUCUGACUAGAAGGAACAGAUUUUUCUCAUAGCUUACUUUAUCCAUGCCUAUUGGCGAUUCCAGGACGGAGGCUACUCCAGCACCCAGCCUGGGCUAUAUGGGAGGAAGUAAGGAAACCUAGACUCAUCACCAUGUUGUUUCUCAAGUCCCAAAGUCGCCAGGCAGUCCACCUUCUUCUUUCCUCCUUUGAAUCUUCCUAUGUUUGUUUGAUAUAUUAUGUCCACAGUUGUAACAGGGAGCACCUGGAAGGAAUAGGGUGCUCCAUCUUGGCUAGAACCAGAGGUCUGAUCUAUACUUGAUUUUUAAGAGAAAUAAAUAGCUAACAGGUAUGCUGAGGCCAACAGUUAACUCAUGUAAGCAACUUUUCAAGAUGUCAUAACUUCAGUCUAGCUCAGUAUUCUCUGUCAAUAUUCUAUGUCUGAUAUGUAGAUGUGUGUGUGUGUGUGUGUGACAAGAAUUUGUGUUCAAAAUGAGAAUAUUCUGUAAAUAACUUCUGAAGCAUCAAGGGCAUUAUCUUCUCUGUAGUUUUGUGUGGGUGUAUUUAGAUGAGUUUAAUUCUCUAAACAAAGGUUGUUUUCCACUGUGUCAGAAACCCAAUACCUAACCAAUCUGGCUAAAAUACAAUACCAAUCUGGCUAAAAGAGAUUUUAUUUCACAUAGGUAUCUUGAAGCAGAGUUAGACGAUUAACCAAAUAUGAAGACAGUUGUUUUUGUUUUUUUUUUUUAAGAUUUUAUUUAUUUAUUUGACAGAGAGAGACACAGCGAGAGAGGGAACACAAGAGGGGGGAGUGGGAGAGGGAGAAGCAGGCCUCCCGCUGACCAGGGAGCCCUAUCCGGGGCUCAAUCCCUGGACCCUGGGAACAUGACCUGAGCCGAAGGUAGAAGCUUAAUGACCGAGCCACCCAGCUGCCCCAAAUAUGAAGACGGUUUUUAAAAACAGCAUCACUGGGGGCACUGGGUGGCUCAGUCGGUUAAGCCUCUGAUUUUAGCUCAGGUCAUGAUCUCAGGGUCCUGGGAUUGAGCCACAUGUUGAACCCAGCGUCAUGCUCCACACUCAGUGGGGAGUCUGCUAGUCCCUCUCCCUCUCCCUUUGCCCUCCCCCAGCUCAUGCUCUUUCUCUUUCUCUCUCUCUCUCUCAAAUAAAUAAAUAAAAUCUUUAAAAAAGUAAAAGUAACACCACUGGUGAAAAAGAUCCUAAACGUCUCUCGGAGAUGCAAUAUCUUUCUUCAAGUAUGUGGAGGUUAUUAUGUAGAAACCCCCAGCUGGGUAAGCAAGACAAAAACGUGCCAGACUUUAAGCAAGAGGAUGUUAAAUUAGAUUGUCUUCCUCCUUUCUGAUAUUUAUAAAAAUUAAUACAUGCUUCUGGAAAAAUAUUAAUACAUAAAUAUAAAAUGGGAAAUGUAACAGGUCCCUUGCUCUCUUGCCCUUCAACACCCUCCCCUCUGUUAACAGUUUUGGUGUGUUUGGUUAGAUUUUUAGAAAGAGGCUUCAGCAGUCAAAGUUUUCUCUACGUACAAGCAAACUUGAAACUUCUCAGUCCCAGGAGAUUGGUACGAUCAAUCAUGGGAAAUGAGGUGGGGUAAGUGGGGAAGAACUCUCUCUCAAGUCUGUUCCAGCUUUCAAUGCAUGAAGAGAAAGACGUGGCUGCCCUUUAAAACACACGCACAGGCACACGCACACACUUUGCACUUGCAAAGGCUAUUUCAGUGACGCCUUCAGUAGCAUACUUAUUUCAGACUUUACAUGGAACCGUCUCAGAAGUACAGCAUGGACUGUGUAGUGGGCAUUCAAUGCCUGCCUGUUGAACACACUAUUCCAAGAGGGAACAACGGACCUUCGUCUGUGUGCUUCACUUUUUUGAACAACGAUUAGUAAAUAAACUCAUUACACAAACAUAGCACAAUAUACCUAAGCUUUCCAGUUUUACACUAAAGUUCCAGUUCUGUUGUUGUUUUCUUAAGUCUUCGAAUCCUGGCCUUCAGUAGUCCUGUCCCCCUCUAAAACUCAUUUACAAAAUGAUGCCAAACUGGUGUGAGUUGGGUAGGAGGGAACUGUUGAAUCCAUUAUUCUAUAUGGGCUCAGCUCAAAACCCAUAGACUAUGAAGCCUUGCCCAAGCGCCAUGACAAGGACUCUCUCCCUCUUUCCAACGCCUUCCCGCCUUGGUGAAAUACCUUUGUAUGCUGCUUAACACAGGUCUUUGUGGUGGAUGGUGGAGUUUAUGUACCAUCUAACAUAAUGUACGCAUUUUCUUGGUGUGCAGGCAUUGUCUCACUCAUUGUAGUAUUCUUGGCUCCACAUGGUACAACACCUUACCCAGAGAAGGCAUUUAAUAAAUAUUGAUUAAAUGGGCAGAUUGAAUAAGCCACAUCUUGAUUUCAAGGGAACCCCAGUUAGCUACAAAAUUAGAUUUUUCCUCCUGUUCAUAGCUACAUUUGCACAAUAAGCAACACUACUUUGAUUCUAUUUAAAAAUAAUGCUUUUUCAAAUCAAUAAAUUUCUUCAUCUGAAAAAUUUUGCUAAGUGAUUUGUAAAAUGGGAGACUAAGGACAUAUUUGAGUUUCCACAUAGGUGAAAACAAGCCUGAAUUUCCCAGGGAAAUUAUUUAAAACCCUUUGUUCAAAGCCAGUCACCAAGAACAGGAUGCUUUUUUUGGUUGAUGCUGAGAAUUUAAAACACCGUUCAGAAAGACAAGGAGGGUAAAAGAUACUUUCCUGGAAAUGACAUGGGCUCUGCCAAUCAGGCACUAUGUUUUUCUAGCACGCCACAUUUGGGGGGGAAAGGUGUAUUCAGAUGUAUCAAAGUCUCAGUGUGGUGACAUUAUAAAAUGUUACCUGGAGCUUCUCCACCCACAAAUAUCUGAAGAAACAAAGGGCAUCUGUUCAUUCUUAGAUGCUGCUCAACACCAACCUUGAGGUUUUGAAACCCUGUCUAUGUGAUUGUGACUGACUCAGAGGCUUUGGAAAGGUGUACUCCACCUAUUCAUGUGACAUCUCUAUGAAAUCUAGGAAGUAGAAGCAAUAAAUCUGCUCAUGACUGAUUCUGAUUCACACAAGUAUGUUCCAGGUGAGAAAGUAGGCAAACUUAGCAUUUAACUUUUCAUAUGUAGUCAGAAUAAAGGUGAGCUUCCCGAUCAAAGAAAGAUCGGACUACAUAAAGUUAUAAGUUAUGGAACAAUAUUUUAGGGUUUGAUAUUUAAGCCUGAAGUGUGGGUACUUCUAGAACACUGGAGCCAUUCUAAUAAAGCUUUCUGCUUCCUGGGAUCAGUUUUGACUUUCCCAUUACUAUUUUGGGGCCCACGUCUCUGAGUUGGACGAAAUGAGCACAGCUUACCCUAGGUUUUCUACUGCCCAGUGUGAAAGCAAAGCGUCAGUCCUUAUGCCAAUAUAUCUAUAUGUGUUUCCGCUUUAACGUUGUCGGGUUUCAUGGGAAGGGUAGAGGGGUUGUAGGUCACUCCCCCAUUGCCAUCUCCCUGCCCCCUCUCCUCACCCCCACCCACCAUCUUGAGCCAGCAGCAUAAGGAUGUGAUCCUCGGGUGGACACCACAAAUGACUGAUUACACCAGUCUAAAGGAUCAGCUUGGUGUAGGGUUACAGGGGUCCCUUUUUGUACCUCUCUUCUGGACUCUCUUCUCAUUGGACAGAGGACCCAGAAAGAAGAUGGCUGUAUCCACUGGUGGGGAGAUGAACCUGGCAUGAAUCUUUUGUGGCAGUUAGAAAUAUUGAGCUCUAGUAUUAAACAGCAGCUAGAAUCUCUCCCCGGAAAAUUGCAUACUCAAAUAGAAUUUAACUGAACAGGGGACACCCUUCUUGUUCAUCCAUAAAGAAUGUUCUCACCUGAGGUCUAUCCAGUUCUUGCAGGUAUUUCUUUGGUGAUAUAAUACCUUAACUCUGUUACAUCCUUCGGGUCAUGCCCGAGAUCUUUCUGAUCAUUUUUCAAAGCCACAUCAUGGUUUAUUUUUUUUUUUAAAGAUUUUAUUUAUUUAUUUGACAGAGAGAGACACAGCGAGAGCAGGAACACAAGCAGAGGGAGUGGGAGAGGGAGAAGCAGGCUUCCUGCUGAGCAGGGAGCCCGAUGCGGGGCUCGAUCCCAGAACCCUGGGAUCAUGACCUGAGCCGAAGGCAGACGCUUAACGACUGAGCCACCCAGGUACCCCCCACAUCCUGGUUUAAUGGCUGAUUCUUUUCCCUUCUCAGUUAUCACAGCCUGGUUCUUGUCUCUGAAAGGUCAGAAGCACCUAUUCCUAGUUAUUUAUGUGAGUGCUGGCAUUCACACUCAAGUAAGGGCUUGGGAGGGCUUUUCAGUUGUUUUUAUUUUGGAGGCACGCUCUCUGUUUCCUUCCCCCAGUUA